rnacentral:lncRNA from 1 species
GGCGCAGUCGUCGCAGCCGCCGACCGGACGGCGCCCGCCUGCAGCCCGGUCCUCUGCCUGCCGGCCGCCCGCCACGGUGAGAGGGCCGAGGGUCGCCUGCGGGUUCGAGAGGGGGUGGCCCGGGAGUGAUGGGGGAGCUGCGUGCCCGGGACGGGAUCUUUGGAGACGCGGGUUCUGCUAGGGGUGACAGAUGGCAGCGCGGCGGGUUGGCGGGACGAGGUGCUCCGCGGGGCGACAAGGACGUGGGUCUCCCCUGGUUGGCAAGGGUUUGGGUGUCCGCUGGGCGACAAAGGCUGGGACCUCCUCGAGGUGACAGGUCGAGGUUCGCAGAAUGACAACGAGGGGGUCUCCGCGGGAGAGCAGGAUGGGGGCAGGUGUGGAGGAAGGGUCCGUGGUUGCCUAGGGCGUGGGUCCUCGAGAGCCGGGGUCUCGACGGGGUUCUGGCUUGCAGGAGGCAGGGUACUAGGGCAAAGGGACUUGAUGGCGAGAGGGGCUGCCCCUUGGCUGAGGUCAGCAGAUGCUGUGGUUCCGCGGCUUCGGGGUGGAACUGGGGUGUAGACUCCGGGGAAAACAGGAAACCCAGACUCCUGGAAGGACCUGCUGGGAGGGUGGCUAGGACCUGGGCGCAGGGCUGUGGGUCAAGUUUGUGUGAGUGGUGGGUUUGAGGGUGCAGCCUGGUGCUCCUGGGCUGGCAGGCCGGGUGGAGGAAAAGCAGUCCCUGACCCAGGGGCUGCCCCGUCAGCUCUGCCGGUGCCCCGCAGCGCUCCUCUCUGCUCCUGAGGUCCCUGAGCAUAGCGGUUUAUGGAGGGCACAGGGGUUUAUGGAGGGCACAGCAAUGUGGAUGUGGCUCUGGUAGCUCCUUGAGGACAGCUGGCUCAGGGAGCGGAGCCAGUGUCCAGGUGUUGGUCUUCCUGGAACUGGUGCCUGCCCCCUCGUACUGGCUUCAUGUUUCCCUAGGUUGUAGGUUGACUGGACGGGGGAAGAUCAAAAGGGGAAGAGGAAGAGGCUUUGUAGUGGCCAGCUCCUCUUCCUCUCUGGGUCAGUGCCGGGCAUGAGUGCCAACCUGCAGAUUGAGCAGGGACUCACCUCUGAGCUGGCACAGGGGAGGUGCCCACCACGGAACCCGUCCCUGAGGUGAGUCAGUGUUAGAGGCAAGCUGAGAGUGUCCAGACCCAGGCCGCCCGCCUGGCCAAGAUCCAGCCCCCAGCCUGAUGCUCGUGUUUCUGAUUCCUCUGACCGGAGGCGGCCUCUGCCCUAGACCUGAGGCAGGAUGGCCAAAAUGCUUGACCCUGAGUGAAGGGGCCUAGGCGGAGUGAGUGGAGUGCCUUCCGUCGGCACCAGUGGAGGAGCCUCCUGUUCUGCUGAUCUCCCCUCCAGCUGCCUGGGGUUCUAUCUCCACUUUGUUCAGAAAUAGCGCUGUGGACGCCUUUGAAGCGCAGGGCAGCGGGCUGUCGAGAUCAGCUCGCUGAAAAAGUUGACUCGUGAGAUUUUCUUUUUCCAUUAGAGAUGAAGGUGGCUUAGGACUCAGGCACAGGGAGUCAUUGGUUGGUGAUGGGCAGGUUAUCUCUAGCCUCUGUGUGGCUGUCCUGGGUUUCUGGUGGUUGUCUGUCGAUGGUUUGUGUCUGUCUUGCUAUUGGACAAUCUCACACCUCAAGGCAACAAGAAGCCACCCAUGAUGGGGAUAGAUCACUGGCCUUGGGGGUCUGCUGGAGCGUCCCACUCGUGGGGAGUCUGCAAACAGCAGAUGUGCCGCUCUCUUUAUGACCAGGCUUUGUACCUCCAAAGGUAGGUCAUUUGAUGGCAGCUCCAGGUGAAGGGGGCUUCUUUAGGCCCUAGGAAAGGUUCAGGUGGGCGAGUCAUGCCGAUGCCUGCCUCCUAGUUCCUCCUCCCUCCACCCCCGCCUCCUUUCACAAAAGGAAAAUGAUCGGUUCAAAGGAAUAUCAGAAGCCGUGUUAAAAACUCACCCAGCAGCAGGAAGGAACUGCACAGAGAUGAGGGAAGUCCCCGCCCAUAGCAGCUCUCCCUUCCAAAGCGCUCCAGAGCUCCCGAUCCAUCUUCUAGAUGAGCCUGGGACUUGGGGCUCCCAUACCACUGACGGAGCUGGGGCUGGCGUGCCCAGAGCCGCUCAGCUGGUACAGGCAGAGCGCGGUGUCAAUCCCAGCCGCCAAGGCUGGGAGAGGCAGCCGCCCCCAGGGGUGCAGGUGGAGCUGGUAUCUGGUGGAAUGGGCCUCCAGCCAGACACCCCGUCUCCCCCAAAGGCCUGGGGCAGAGCGCCCUCUCCAGCUCACCCCAAGCUGGCCAGCACAGCUGCACUGUCAACCCAGAUUUGUUUACAAUGGUUGAGAAAUGGAGCAGGACGUGCGCUUUGCUCAAGUGCCUGGGUUUCCAAAGGGCCCAGGUGUCUUCAGAUGUGUGGGGCCAGAGCAAGGCCAUUCCAGGGAAACCUGCCCUGGUGGCUUUCCUGUCCCCUCCCGGAAGACAAGGGCUGCGGGGAGGAGGUGCCGUGUUUGUUUACCCAGUGUUCUGUACGUGGCAUUGUUGGGGCAGGUGGCACUUCUUUUUUUCCCCUUUAAGGACAAGCUGUUCUCUUGAGGAAGAGAGGCUUCCGUCCCAUUUUCCAGACCUGUGUGGCACGAGGACUCCUGGGGAGGGGGCCUGACCAUGCCUGGGCAGGUCAGGGUACAAAACAGCACUAAAAGUGGGGCCACCUGGGGCCACAUGGGUGAAGUGUAGACCUGGGCCCGAGAGGGUCCGCCUGCUGUCUGAUCGGGAUGCCGUGUUCUCUUGUGACAGUACCUUGGUGAGGGACCCGGGGGAAACAAGGAUACUCGCUGCCCUUCAUUCCAGUGCUAAACCUGUGCUAAUGAGCCAGGAGGGUCUUGGGAGCUGUGGUUGACAACGUCCCAGGACCAGAGGACAGACCUCAUAGUUAGAAAGCUUUCAGCUUCUGGACCUCGAUCGCCUGCCCCAUUCCAUCUCUCCCUGAAGCUUCUCAGUUCCCUUGUGGAGAAGUUCACACCUGUUCCCAUGGUCUGCCAGGUGACCUACAGGUCCUGGCCAGCCUCACCUGCUUUUCCAGCUCAGCAGGUACCACUCUCACUCACAAAGGUCCCACCUUCUUUUUGGGCCUCUAGCAUACCCAGCUCACUCUGCCACAGGGCCUUUGCAUUGGCUCUCCCCGCCAUCAGAUUUGCCCAUGAGCACCUCCUUGUCAUUCAGGUCUGCUUCAAUAUCACAUCCUCAGCAUGACCUUCCGUAAAACAAUCAAAUGAUGUCCCUUUUUCCUCUGGUCCCUAGCCCACUUGUUCUGUUAUAUUGCAUUGUUCUAUUUUCUUCAAAACUAUAUCAGAAAUGACCUUGCUUUUUAGAGAAUGCUUCUGACAUCUCUUCCCUGUUCGCUGCUGCCCCAGCUCUUCCUGUUGGUGCAGCACAAAUGCAGACAGUGCCUGGCUUACAGCAGGUGCUCGGGGAGGACUCCCAAGGGCGGGAGAGACAGCCAGGCGUCUUCAGGGUGGAAGGCAGUGGACAGUAGUUGGUUUUCUCUUACCAGAGGCAGUAGAGCGGCGCCCGACCACUGGGCAGAACUGGGGCGGGAGGUGGUAGGGAAACCAGUGACCCUCGGGCUCCACUUUCUUGGGCACAAGAACAAAGUACCACAAACUGGGAGGCUCAAGACACCAGCGCUUUCUUCCCUCCGUUUCUGGAACCCAGAAGUCCCCAGUCAAGGGUGGCUGACGGGUUCCUUCUGGGGUCUCAGAGAGAGACCGCCACCUCUCCAGGUUCUGGUGGUCGCCGGUGACCCCCGCUGCGUCUCCACGUGUAGCCCCGUCACUCAGACUCUGCCUCAGGUCACAGGGCCACAGGCUCCCUGCUCUGUCUCCACAUCUCUCCUCCCUGUGCCUCAGUCUCUUCCUGGACACAGGUCCGCCUGCCCCCGCCCGCCCCUCCUGGCCUCAUACCCACAGAGGCCCUGGUUCCAAAUAAGUUCCGCACAGUUUCUGGGCUGGAAUUUCAGUGUAUCUUUUUGUGGGGACACAAUUCACCCCGUGAUACCGUCUAACUUCAAGAUCAAGUGACAUUUUAAAAGGAAAAUGUGGCAGAGGUUAGGGUUAUUUUUAGGGGUAAUUACUGGGUAUUUUUACGGGGAGCAUCAAUGAACCUCUCAGCUUUCGAGGUGAGGGACUGUAGGUACAUGGGCACAUGCUCCCCGAGAACCCAGCGUUCCAGUGACCUGCCCCAGGGCACCAAGACAGCAGAUGGCGGGGUGACUGUCGAGCCCCCGGACGAGUCUCCUUGCUCUCAGAUUUUAACGCCCGUGGCCUCUACCCUACUGAUGGGAGGCUGGACUCCACAGGGACAGGGUUCCUUCCAGAGCUUUUGGCUUGAUGCUGUCCAGGUCGUGGAGGGGCAGCAGCUCCUGGCCUUCAGCAAGAGAGGAGGGACCCAGCCUUGGGCUGCCCGUCAGGAGGGGCCGCGCUGUCCCAUGCGGUGGGCAGGUCUAUUGCAGCGGAGCUGGUUCUGGGCUUCGGGGCAUCUCCAGUCCAGCUGGGAGUGAGCCCUGCAGGAGUGCAGGCGGCUGCUCUCGUGGGAGCAGGUGGUGGGCAGAGCUGGUGGUGGGCACACCGACCCACAGUGACGGGCAUCUGGGCCCUCACGCCCCUUGCGUUCCGAACUGGCACCCCACCUCGCUGGCAUCUCAUCUCUCCUGCUGAGAUCUGUUUGUGCUGUUGGACUCGGGGGUCCUGCAGCUGCAGCCAGGUUCAGGUGACAUGAAGAGAGGCCAGUGAAAGUGAGGUCCCCUCCCCUUCCUCCGGGGCACCUCGGCCUCUCCGUCCCCGUCCAGAGAGCAGAGGCUCCCUGAGCGCCCUUACCGAUCACCUCUGCGCCCUCCCUCCCAAGCCCUUCCUUCCUCCUCCUUCAAAAGGAAAAAACCCUCUCUGCAGUUCCCCGCAGACGGGCUUGUCCCCAGGAGUCCACUGACAGGGUCCCUGCUCAGCUUUACAGGGGGAGAAGGUGUGGAGGAGACGCCCCCAGGGGGCACAGGGGUCAGUGUGGGGACAGUGCUUCUGGUCAGGUGGUCUCCAGAGCUCUUCUCCUUAUACUUCACGUGGUGGGACGUGGACCGAGGACCCAAAGGAAAGCAGGGGGAGAGGAGGUGGCUCUCUGUCCCGAGGGUCCUGGCCCUGGCACGUGUCUAUUGGGUCUGCUGCGCGGAGCCCAGCCACCUGCUCCCUACUCGCUGGGUGGCCUCCAGCCCUGCCGAGGACACUCGGGGGCCCCUGUGCUGUCGCGAUGAGAAGCUGGGCAGGGUGAGAUGGGGCUUGUCCCUGUCACCACACAGACCCAGGCCACCCUUCCCUGGGCCCUGCUUCUUCCCCGUCCUGUCUGCUUUGAUCCCUCCCCAGGCUGAGUGCCUCGGAGGCCCCCUGGGUGCCAGCUUGUCCCCAGCGUCCUCAGCCGUCCCCUCUGAGAGCGACACCCUGCUGUGGGGUCCUCUGCCCACCUUGCCCUCCUGGCCUGUGGCCUGAUUGGGUGGAGACCCGGCUCCCUCUGGCCCCAGGGCCCUGGACGGGGCAGCGCCCCGCUUUCCUUCCUUCAUGUCGUCCUUUCUUCCCGCAGCCUGUCGGGGUGCUCUGUGCAGCAUCCCGCACCUGUUCCAAGUGGACCCUUCAGUUUUUAGUAACUUGACCGAGUGGCCGACCAUCAUCGAAGUCUAAUUUUAGAACACUUCCAUCACCCUAAAACAGAAACCCCUCUGCGUUGGCUCCUCUCCCCUCCCCCAGCCCUGGCAACCGCUAAUCUGCUUCCUGUCUCUAGGGAUUUGUGGGGUCGGGACUUUUCAUAUACAGGCAUCGAACAGUCCGUGGCCCUUGGUGACCGUGGUCAUGGACGGCCGUCCCAGCCCCUGCUCCUGCUGCUGGUGGGUGUUUCUGGGUGUUUGGGUCCUGAGGGAGUGUGGUGCCUUCCGCACCUUGGCCUCCCGGUUCCCCCUGCCCUGCAGACCCACCUCUGACUGGGGGCUGGACAAGCGAGGGGGGCACCGCUGGGCAUCCUGUGGACGCCACGGCCGAGCUCGUUUGCAUUGCGUCCUUCUUUCCACCGACACCCGUCUGUCCCAGGCCCAUAUCUGGCGCGGGUUCUGGUGCCAGCAGCUGGGCCCCCCAGCUCUGGGACCUCCCGCCUUCCUUGACCCUCUGCGGCUUGGUGGCCAGGGAGGAGCCUGCAUGGAGCAGAGCCGCUUGUCCUCAGGGCUGUCUGCGCCCCUGGAAGCCUCCACCUGCCCUAGGUGGGAGGUGGCGGCCAGGCCUGUGCCCUGCGGGGGUGAGUUCCAGCAGAGGAAGGAGAGGGGGGUUCCUCCUGGCUGCUGACCCCACUGGGGCCCGCCGCCCAGCGUCACGCAGCCCUGAGCAGCUCUUCAGCAACGUCCUUCCCGCCCAGGUGUGUUCUGGCCUUUGUGUCCCAGCCCAGUGUGACUCAGAGCCAAUGACUCACAGCCACCAAGUGGCCAAUGAGCUGGGGCAAGUGAGGAUCUGGUGACAGGAGCAAGUGGGGGUGGAACAUGCCAGAGCCCGAGCUCCAGGGGCUGCUGUCACGAUGACGGCCAGGGAGGGUGGGGUGCGCAAAACCCAGCCUGGAGGAGACCUCCCACCGACCAGGCCCCACCCGGGCUGAGCAGGGGGAGGGGGAGGGACGAGGCCAGUCGGGCAGACCAGGUUUGUAAUGGAACAAAGGAAACGGAACCAGUCCCUAGAGGAAGGGGAGAGGCAGGUGGCCCCCUCCUCACCUCGGGGUCACAUUGGAAUCCCAGGCCCAGCGUGAUAAGCAGGGCCUCGCUGUCCCCUCCUGGGGGACGAGGCGUCCACGGCACCAUCGCGACUCUGUGAGAGCUGAGGUCCCAGGUGCGUCUGGCGUGGGCAGCGAGCAGGAGCCUCUCCGCUGCCACCUCCUACCUCCCCAGGGAGCCUGUGCUGCCCAGUGGGGUCCGGCCUCUCUUCUCCCUGCUGUGAAGUCCACUCCAUGCACACACGGCCAGGGGCAGCUGCUUCCUAGAAUCAAAGGCAGAUCAUGGCAUUCUCCAGAUUCAACCCUAACCUUCUCCACGGCUCCUGGGACAUAUCCCCAAGUCCUUUCCUUGGCCUCCAGAACCAGGCCUCAAAGGCCCGGCCCACUCCCUCCCUCAGCCUGGCGCAGCAGGAGCCAACGCUCUGGUCCCACAGUGGCCAGACUCCUGCCAAGGCUGCGUGUCCCCUUCAUGGCUUCUGAGGGCCGCAGUUCUGGGCCUCGGUGGAAGAGCCUUCUCAGGAAGGAGGAGCACCUGCCCACCUAGCAUAGCCCAGCCCCGUCCAGCAGCCUCAUGUGGACAGUGAAGGAAACAGAUGACGUUCAUUUUGUUACUAGUUUUUGUUAUUGUUUCUGGUGCUGGGAUUGAACCCAGGGUGCUGUGCCACGGAGCCACAUCCCAGCCCUUUUUGUUUUUAUUUUGAGACAGGGUCUCGCUGCGUUGCUUAGGGUCUCGCUGCGUUGCCCAGGCUGGCCUUGAACUUGCCGUCCUCCUGCCUUAGUCUACUGAGUCUCUGGGGUUACAGGUGUGCACCCCUGCACCGGCUUGCUAAUAGACUUUGUCUAACCAGUGAAUCUAAAAUAUCUCAUUUCCACUCACAGUCGGCAUCAACGUUAUCAAGAAGACAUUUUACGUUCUCUUUUCAUUUAAAGCCUGAACUCCCAAGUGGUCCGCACAUCCCUGUCUGUUCACAGCCAUGUGUGGCCAGCGGCCAGCCUAGUGGGCAGCUCAGCUCUGAUCCGUUAGAUACUCCUGUUGUAUUCAGAGCUGUGCGCUGUGAUUUCUGUUGACACCUUUGCUCUCUGACUAGAGGGUAGGCUCCCUGAGGCCGUGUGGGCCAGGGCGUUGGUUUCUGCAGUGCUGUAAGAGCAGGUGGAGGCUCUUGAAUGGCUAAAGGAACAGCCGGUGGAGCCCACUCCUCACAGGGCGGCUGAGCAGACCCACGUGGAGCCUGUUCUCACCCUGCAGCUCAACGCACAAGCUCCUUGGAACCAAACACACUGUUUCCUGUGGAGACUUUCAUCAGAGUCUGUGCUCUGCUGGCCUAAUCCGCCGUGACGCAGGACUACAGGAGGGGUCUGCAGCAGGAGCAGCUGGAGGAUGAGACUCUGGAGUUGCUGCCGCUCGGGGUUUAGGUAGAGCAGGGAUUUCCAGGUGGGGGCAAUGUCUGGGGACAUGUGGUCGUCACAGCUGGGGUGCUCCUGCCACGUGAUGGGUAAGGCCAGAGGUUCCCCUAGGAUCCCUGCACAGGGGAGCCACCCCAGGGAGCACUCAGCCCACGGCUGGCAGCAAGAAGCACGUUGGUGGCUCCAUGUGCUCAUAUUGGCCGCCGGCUCAGAGGUGCCUUGGAAACAUCAGGAAGGUCAUUAGUGCCCAGCAGCCUGGAGCUCCACCCCCCUCUCCUGCCUUGCGUUUCUUGUCCUGGAAGGACACGCUGAACGGGAGCUGCCUUCAGGGAUGCCCUGGGCACCUUGGACUACCUGCUGCCGAGGAGGGCUCCGGGGGGGGGCUCCGGAGCUGUCCCGAGAGCCCCUGCGCCUGACAUGGUCCUGAGGGCUCUUCAGCUGCCUCGGAAGCCAAGGCAGCCCUCCAGCAGGACCCUCCUCGCCUGCAGAGUCUGCCCACCCCCACCCCGGCUCCCAGGAGCAGGAGUCCCUCCGCCUAGCGGCACUGAGGUGCAGAACUGCGUUUUCACAAUUGUCCCAUGGGAAGGCCCAGAAAGAGAGGACGGAGAAGCGGCUGAGUAUGCUCCAGUGUUCAGGUGCCAGGGACAUUUCCAAAUGCAAGAGUGGGCCGCAGUUCUCCCCCACCCUCUGCUGCGCCUCCGUCUGAAUCUUCUCAGGGGGCCACGACAGACCACCUCCCGCCUGCCACUUUGCCCGUGUGCCUUCCGGGUCUGGAAUAGCUUCCCUGCCUGCCCGUCACACUCAGGCUCGGCUCAGUUGCCCCCAAGGACAAUCUCUUGCCGUGUGCCCAGGCGGGACCGGGCUCUGUGCUCCUGUGGCCUCUGCUCCCAAGUGCGUGCUCGGCAUGUUGCUGACGUGUGGAACCUGUCAUCCUCUGCACCCCUUUGGAACCUGUCACCCUCUGCACCCCUUUGGAAGCGAGGGGCCUCGUGCUGCUCAUCUUGGCUUCCCUGGGACACAUGGCAGUUCCUGGGACCCAGCAGGACUUAAUCACCAGUUGUCAAAUCACCCGAAGUCUACAGGGUGACACCUUCUAUCCUGUCUGUGCCCCAUGCUGCCCUGCCAAGAAGAAAGGGGGUGUGAGUGGCAGGGAGGUGACAGCUGUCUUCAUCAGCCCCGGGGGAUGCAGUCCCAGGCUGUGCAAGCACAGAUGACAAGCCAGUCCAGGGCAAGAGCUGGCCUGCCUUUGCCUGCUGGGCACAAGGUGGGCGGAAGGUGGGGACGCUGGCAGUUGCUGCUGUGACUGUGGGCUGACUUCACCUGCCCCUCAGUGUCCUGUGGCUCAGUGUCCCUCUUGAGUCUGUGUCCAGCCUGUCCUUUCCCCGGCUCCCUGUCCCUCUCACCUGCCCCCCGCCCCCCGCCCCAUCCUCAGCUGGAGUGGGAAGCAGACUCUCCAGUGCUUUGGAGGAAAUGCCAGUUUCCCAAGUCAGCAGCAGCCUGGCUCCUCUCCAAACGGGAGCCUGCAGACGGCCUUUUCCCUGGGCGUUGGCGCAGGGCAGUUAGCUCGCCCAGUGCACGGCCCCCGUGGAGGGUCUGGAGUGCCGCAGGCAGCCCGUGUCCCACAGCGAAAACCAGGACAGCGACAUAAAGAGGAACGGCUUAUUGAGAACUCAGUUUUGGAAGUUCUGGUCCAGGGCUGGGCCACCCUCAGGCAAGGGCAGCGCGUCGUGGGUGUGGGAGCAGUCCCACCUCAGGCCUGAACACAGAGGGGACAAGCAGGGUCACUCCUGCAGAGGACCUUCUGUUUGCCCCAGCUUUUGAAGGUCCACGGCCACUCCCAGUGGUGCCAUCCUGGGGACGGAGCCUUUAACGUGAGCCCUUGGGGGACACUCAGGGUACACCCAAAGCCUGGCUUCACCUGUACCCCAACAGCAGAUGGGGGAGGGCCCCCUGCACACCACGUGCAGCGGGCUGUGACGUCGGGCUCUGCGUGGCUUCAUCUAGACUUGGUCUUGUCCUGCCUCCAUAGUGGACUGUCCACCUUACUAAGCCUGAGAUGUCUUCAUCCAGAGAAUGGGGGUGGUAACAGACUUAGCUCCGCGUUCCUGGGGAUUUAAGUCAGGUUGCGAGGCGUUAACUUGGCGCCUGGCAGUGGGGGGCAACUACUAUUCAGUUGGUCAGCACCCUGGAGUCCUAGCAGUGCGCCAUCGGAGAAGCACAGCCCGUGGGGCUUCCUCACCCCGGGCUCUGUCUCCAGGGCCCUGGGGGCCAGGGCUCACAGCCGUGCCCAGAGGUGUACCAGAGGUUGCAGAGAAGAGGUGGCAGGGCCUUCUUUGACUUGUCUGAAAAUGCCCAUCUGUACUCAGAGGAGUUUUUACAGAAAGAAAGGUUUUAGAAAAAUGUGACUGAACAUAACUUCUGUAAUGAGCGGCAUCAAAAUCUUGAAGAUAUUCAAUACAAAAGGGCUCAUCUCAUCUCAGAGCACUCCGGCGCUGCUGACCUGCAGUCAGGAGCCACAGACAGCAACCAGCGGAGGGCCUUCUCCCUCAAGCAGUCCCUCCCCCUCCCUCUCCCUCUCUCUCCUUCUCCCUCCCCCUCCUACCCCUUCCCUCUCUCUCUCUCUCUCUCCCCCUCUCCCUCCCACCUCCCUCUUCCUCUCCCUCUCUUUCCCUCUCCUCCCCCUCGCAUCCCCUUCCUCUCUCUCCCUCUCCCUCCCCCCCUCCCUCUCUCUUCCCNNNNNNNNNNNNNNNNNNNNNNNNNNNNNNNNNNNNNNNNNNNNNNNNNNNNNNNNNNNNNNNNNNNNNNNNNNNNNNNNNNNNNNNNNNNNNNNNNNNNNNNNNNNNNNNNNNNNNNNNNNNNNNNNNNNNNNNNNNNNNNNNNNNNNNNNNNNNNNNNNNNNNNNNNNNNNNNNNNNNNNNNNNNNNNNNNNNNNNNNNNNNNNNNNNNNNNNNNNNNNNNNNNNNNNNNNNNNNNNNNNNNNNNNNNNNNNNNNNNNNNNNNNNNNNNNNNNNNNNNNNNNUCUCUCUCCCUCUCCCCCUCCCUCUCUCUCCCUCUCCCUCCCACCCCCUCCCUCUCUCUCCCCCCUCCCUCUCCCUCUCCCUUUCUCUGUCACUCUCUGAUCUCUGGAAGAACCCAGCAGGGACAGUCUGACCAGAGGCUCCUGGUGGGAUGACUCCUCCAUGUGGUUUAGGGCCUGCUGUGUCCCCAAAGCCUGUCUGAUGUGCUGCAUUAAAGCUGAGUCUGGGGGAGGAUCCUAGGAGGACCCCCCAUUCUGCAGCAAAUGAGGCCACAGUGGGAAACUGGGGUAGAUCACUCCAGGAGAAAGGACAAGAUGGGGCCCAGAGGUGGUAGGGGCCAGGUCCUGGCUUCCCUGUGCUGGAACCCCGCCACCUGCCUGGGCCCAGCCCUGUGCAGAGAGGUCUGCGUCCAGCUGCAGCUGAGCCAGGGCUCUGUGACUCCUCCCUGCAGAGUGGCAGACUGCUCCCUACCCGCCGGGCACUCUCGUCCUGUCCUGUGCCCACGCCCAGGGGUGACCAGACACCUUUAGACAAACUUUUCUUGCUCCUGAGAACCUGAGUGGUGGGGGGAAGGAAGCCUUUGUCAGCCAGACCUCACAUGGCACCUCCACACAUGACACCCUCUGCAUGUGGCACCCCCACCAGGCCCGGGCUCCCCCACAUGGCUGUCCUCUCAGCUGCUCCUUACCCUGCGCAGUUUAGAACUAAGAGGCCCCUGGGGUGCAGAGCACCCCUCUGAGACAUGGCAGGUGAGAAGGCCCUGUCGGGCAUAUCUCCACCCCCUACCCUGGCUGGGGCCUUGGAGCUCCGCCAGCGAGCCCACUCCGCCUCCUGAGCCCACUCCGCCUCCUGAGCCCACUCCGCCUCCUGAGCCCACUCCGCCUCCUGAGCCCACUCUGCCUCCUGAGCCCACUCUGCCUCCUGUGUCCCCGGGCCCCCCUGUGUUUCAGGGUCCUCACACGCACUGCAGCUGCGGGAGUUCCUGCAGCCAGCUGUGGGCGGGAGCCGGAGCCGGGGCUGGCAGAGCUGGGGUGACUCAUCCCCUUCUCGGCAGGAAGAGCUGGGAGGAAGGGACAGGGCUCUAGGACCCACACUGGGCCAGGUCCUGGUGAGUGCUGCAGCCAUGCAGCCGGGAGGCUGGGGUCCCAGGGUCCCUUUUGCUAGGUGAGGGACUACCGCGUUAAUUCACAGUAAAAUUGGCCUUUUUUUUUUUUAAGAUACUGGGAAUUCACCCGGAUGCUCAGCACUGCGCUACCUCCCCAGCCCCUUUUCCUCUUUUAUUGUGGGGCAGGGUCUCACUUCGUCACCCAGGCUGGCCUCGAGCUUGCCAUCCUCCCGCGGUGGCCUCCUGGGUUGCUGGAAUUACAGGCAUGAGCUACCAGCCGCACCCAGAAAAUCUGACCUCUUUUGCCGUACAUUUCAAAAUGUGCAGCUUUGUGUCAUCUCUACCACAUUCGAUUAGGACAGCGUUUCCUCACCCCAAAGCUCCCUGGGGCCCGCCCUCCCAUCUUUUCCACACCUCCCUGUCGCCAACCCCUGGCAGGGCUUCGCUCCCUCUUUGGAGAAGGUCCUAGAAUGCAAUUGUGGCCCCGAUGGGUCUCUGAGAAGGAUUUCUCUGCCCGCGUGACACGCCUGAGGCUGACCUGGGCUGCAGAGGAGCCCCUGGCUGAGCAGGCAGGAGCCUGGCCCCCAGGUGGGCCGCCUGCUCCCUGUCCUGGGCCUGAUUCCAGUGUCUGCUGGUUGUGGAGAAUUGCGACAAACCUUGGGCGCAGGGUUUUGGAGAAGUAAGUUUUCCCUUCGUCGGACAGAUGCAGGCCCAGGAGGGGGCUGCUGGGCAAGGUCCCCUUCCUCGCCCCACGUUUCACGGUGAGAAGCUCCGUGUAGAAUUCCAAGGAAGGUGAGGCGAGGUCCACCCUCCAGGAGAUGGCGGGGGUCCUUCCAGAGGGUCCGGCAGGGGGUGAGAGGGAGAGCUGCACCCCCUGCAGCCAGGGCCCUGGUCCAGGCUGGCAGGGAGGGGCGCUCCCGGGACUUCCUCCUGGGCCUUGGGGCUAGGCGUGGGCUGUCUGGUUUCCAAGUGCUGCGGAGCUCUGUUGUUUCCGUUGGGAGUGAAGCUGCCACAGGGGUUCUCUGCGGCUCCUCAGGAUUCCUUGAGCAGGCCUCAGCAUUCCCUCUGAGGACAGCUCUUGUUGGUCUGUUUCAGUUACUCAGGCCACGUGCCUGCUGGCCAGCGCUCUACCACUGAGUCACGUCCUGGCCCUCUUUCAUUUUUAUUUCGAGGCAGGGUCUUACUAAGCUGCUGAGGCUGGCCUCCCCCUUGCCCUCCUCCUGCCUCAGCCUUGCCAGUCCUUGUAAAGACACGGGCACCGCCCCUGGCCCUGUCGAGCUUUUGCUUUAUGUAUGGUGCGUGUGCGUGUCGAGGGGUAUUGGCGUACACACACUCUGUAUCUUACCACUGGAAGUGGGAUGUGCAGACCGACCAAGUGGUUCCCGUUAUGUGGUAGUUCUCACAGGUACAGCUGCAUUCACUAAAGACCUCUGGAGCCAGUCCUGUAAUUUUUGUUUCCAAGUAUUGGGGGUAUUUGAAAGACCUCAGGAGGAGACGCAGUCUCCUGCUACUGGCCAGGGCUUCCUGGUUGGGUGUUCCUCUCCUUCCUCUGUGUCCUGGGCUUCCUCGUGUCAGGUCCCCUCUGUCUGAGGAGGUUGGUAAAUUGGGAGCAAGUCCACUGGCUGCUGAUUGGCAUGGAAGGGUUUCAUUCUGGAAGAAUUUUUUAAAUUGGUGGGUAUAGGCUUCCAGAUGACCUGUUGUUUUAGGAGUUAAAAAACACUGCUUCAAUGGGCGCGGUGGCCACCCCUGUAACCCCAGUAGCUCGGGAGGCUGAGGCAGGAGGAUCCCGAGUUCAAAGCCAGCCUCAGCAGUGGCGAGGCGCUCAGCGACUCAGUGAGGCCCGGUCUCUAAAUAAAAUACAAAAUAGGCCUGGGGUGUGGCUCAGUGGUCGUGUGCCCCUGACUUCAAUCCCUGGUACAAAACUAAGGCCAGUCUCAGCAACUCGGCGAGGCCCUAAGCAACUCAGCGAGGCUCUGUCUCUAAAUAAAGAGUGGUUAAGCGCCCCCAGGCUCAAUCUCUGGUAUGAAGAAGAGAAAACGCUGGUCCCUCCUGUAGCUUCUGAGACUUCCGGAAGCCUGCGAGGCUGGGCCCUCUGCCUGCCCGUCACCCGCAGGCUUCUCUGUGGCUGCGAGCUUGCUGGGCGCCCCUGGAUUCCAGGAGUUCCACGGCGUGAUUUCUCGGGGUUCAGUGAGCUGCUUGCGUCUGCAGGUUCAUGCCCUUUGCCACAUUUGGGGUUUGGCCGCUCGUCUUUCCUCCCCCUGCUCUUCCUGUCCUCCUCCUGGGGCACUCAGGCCCUUUCCCACCCCCACCGUCCCCAGGCUCGGUUCCUCUGAACCCUUUUCCUUCCCGUCCAGGUUGGGUCUGUUUGUCCCUCUCUUGGUGCCCGUGACUCUGCUCUGUCGACUGGGUCUGGCCCUUGAGCAUAGCCAGUGGGUCUUUAAAUUUCCAUUUCUGUGUUUCCGAUUCUAAAAUUUCCACUUUGUUUCCUUUGGUCUUCGUUUUCCUUCCUCAGACUGAGCUUCCCCUUGGCCUCAGGAGUGGCCCCGAUGUCCUUGCCGGCUGGGCAGGGCUGUGCCGUCCUGGCUGGAGAUGCCCCACCCAGCCGUUCCCUGGCCCUUCUGCUGUGGAGUGGGGUGACCCGACGUCCUGAGUGGAGUGAGGGGCCACGGCCUUGCCGAGCCCCCGGGGAGUGUCGGCACCUUGCAGCCCCGACAGUUUGGGGUCAGGUUCUGAGUCCUCCUGGCCUCCUGUGAGCCUCCAACUCUGCUGUGUCCCCACCCUUUGCCUGGCUGGUCCCAUGGCCCCGUGAGCCACUCCACAGCUGUUCUGCAACCGGGUGGUGAACAUUCCUGGCCUUCAGGACCCAGAGCCCAGAGUGACGCAUGUCACUCCCGCGUGGCCUGGGAGUGAGCCAGGGGCUCCCGUGACCUUGUGGGCAGCUGUCCUGAGCCCACCCUUGCCGUGUUCUCCCACAGUGUCCCCAUCCUGGGUGGGCCCAUCCGACCCCCUGUGGAUGCCGUGAUUUCUUCCUAUUCCUCCGUACCUCUGGUGAAGUCUGACCAUGGAUCAGGCUCACUAGGACAUAAAUGGCAGUAGCAAAAGGGACCUUUGUGACAGCACACUGCAGUGGAACCACCAGUGUCACUACUGCCUCACUUGGGGCCAUUUAAGUAACACCAGUGCCCACACAUACCAUCCCAGCUACUCAAGGGGCAGAGGCAGGAGGAUUGCAAGUUUGAGGCCAACCUGGACAACUUAGCAAGAUCCUGUCUCAAAAUCAAAAGGGCCAGUGGUAAAUCUCAGGGGUAGAGCACCUCUGGGUUAAACCCUAGUACCACACACACACACACACACACACAAGACCAGGUUCCCUUGCGCACAAGCCCCAUGGUGCCAGACCUGAUGCCCGACACUGCUCGGUGACUACCAGUGGGGUAGCAUACACAGGGUAGAUACGCUGCACCUCUUGGGCAGGUCAGAACAGGGCAGCCUGAGACUUUACUGCACUACUCAGAAGGGCAUUAAGAACUGCUUAUUUCUGAAAAUCUCUGUGUAGUGUUCUCAGACCCCAGAUGACUGUGGGUAACUGGCAGAACCCGACAGGAGGACGGCUCACUUCCCUUCCCCAGGAGGUAGGGCCCCUCACACAGGGCUCUGCUUUCGCUGGGACUCAGCUGCUUCUGUGCCUGAGGACAGGGAGAGAAACGGGGGUUUCCACCAUCUUGGCCACUGAGGCUUCAACUGGAAUGGAGGGUUCCUGCCCUCAGGGUCUUGGGUCCCUGCUCACAGGCCCCACUAUGUGCUGGAAUCACUGGGUCUGAGGCCCAGAGAGCAGGAGAGAGAGGACAAAAGGGACCCCAGGGGGCCAGGCCCCGAUCCUCAAGCCAAGCCUGGGGCUCUCCGGCCACAGUGCUGCUGCGUUUGGCUCCCGGGCUCUCCUUGGGGUGAAUGGCAGACUCCUGUCACUCUGGUAGUAGAGCACCCUCUGGUCUUCUCCCUCACCUCCCUGCUGCGAUGGCUCUGCAUGUUCUGCCCAGGUGCUGAAGUCACGUGGAGGGGGCGAGACCGGGCAGGUGGGACUGACUCACAGGAGGACACCAGCUUCAGAGGCCUUAGAGAAUCUGGGUUAGACCAAGAAAUGAGGAAGUCAGGAUGUAUCUGGCCCAGGAAAACUGCGGUUUGUGUGGGGAAAGAGGAAACAGGGUGGGUGGUUAGGCAAGUGCUGGCAUGAGCCCGACAGGCAGAGCCACGGGGAUCUCUGGAGCCCUCGUCCUCGAGACUGUCCCUCUGUACAGAGUGGAAGGGGUCCUCAGCCCCUGCUUGGACUCUCAAGUUGGAGCAAAUAAGUUUGUAGCCAAAGGAGGUUCAUUCCUCUCCACCAGGAGCACAGGUGCGACAUCCGCAAUCAGAAAGUCGGAAAUGCAAAAUACUCCCAAAUCUGAAACCAACACGGUGUCCAAGUGGAAGACCCUCACCUGACCUGUGCCCGCGGCAGGACACAGGCACGCUGCGUGCAUUGUGCACAGGGACUUUCCUCUGUGACUUUAAGGCUCUUGUGGAAAAUCAGUGGACGUUGUGUUCACACUGGGUCCACCCCAGGCCGUCUCCAGGUCGAGGAGUAGGUGCCCGUACUCCAAGACCAGAAGGACAGAACACUCCUGGUCUAUAAGGAACGCUCACACCGUGUUAGAAAGGGCAAGGUGGAGAUGGGGACAAAGAUUUUUCUGAGAAUGGUCUAAUCGAGGAGUGUUGGUGUCCGCGCUCACCUGCGUGCACGGCCUCCUGCCGCAGAGUCCGAGCUGGGGGGUAAAGGAGUGAGCGCGUUAGAAAGUGCACGUGCGCGUGCGUGUGCAAAGCUAUUGUGGAUGGAUGGACGGAUGAACAGAUGGCUCUGGCUGGGCUGAGACCCUCUGAAGGAGGUGGCUCUUGGUACUGCCCACCCUCACCUCCGUCUACCUGUGGGCAGAGGAGCAAUGCCCUGGGAAGUGGCCACUUGCCAGAGUGCCAGGCCCCUUGAUUCUGGUCCUGAGUGUCCCCAGAUGCCGAAUAAGCACGGCAUUUGGAGUCCCUGUGGCUCUCUGGUCACUGACAAGCUCUUCCUUGGUUGGUUCUGUCCUUGGGGUGACUGUGUAGGAAGGCAGGUGGAACUGCCACGUGGUGGCCUGGAUCCUCUUCCCACGGUGGUAACCACAGGAACGGGACCAUCUCACAUCUCGGUUUUCAGUUUUCCCUUCAUUCUUAUUUAACAUAGAAGUUUUUUCGGAUGUCACUGUGUCACUAUCGUUCUUCCAUAUUUCAGUGAAGUACCAGAAUUAAUGUGGCGAAGUUUAGUGUCUUCUUGUUGCACAUUUAGGCUGUUUUGGUUUUUGCUAUUAUAAAUCCUGGCGUGUUGAGGUGCCGGGGGCCGUCCGGGUCAUCGCCAUGGGACAGUAGCAGGUGGGCUUCUGAAAUGUCAUUAAACCUACUUCCGCAUCAUCAGGGAGGAUUCCCAACAGCCACAGACGACCUGCAGAACACAGGAGGAGCAGGGUUUGGACUGGCCGGGGUCCUCCAGGGCAGCAGGCAUGUGUCAGGAAGGGAAGAGAGCUGGACCGGCCUGGGCAGGGGCAGCCUGGGGCAAGCAGGGGGCUGUUGGGGCUGCAGCGAGUGCUUCCAGGAGGCUGCUUCUGAAUAGCAGCAGUGUCCCCUCUGCACUGGCCCCUGGAGAGCUGCGUGGGCAGCUCCAGAUUGCAGAUCUCCUUGACUGCCGGCCAGAGAUGACAGGUGUCCUGGGUAGGAGGACAGAGGGCUUCCCACGGCCUGCCAGGGACGCCUGCUCCCAGGAAGGCUAGCUGGUCUCUUCUCCCACAGGGACACAGAUGUCCUCUGUGCAUGGCUCUGUGCUCUGGCCCUUCUUUGGGCCACUGGGAACAGAGUGCCAAACCUGGAGGGAAGGGAUGAAGCUCUUGUCCUGUGAGCCCCCCUCUUGCAAGCAGCCUGUGCCAGUUCAGUGACUGAGUGUGCUACCUCUGGUACAAUGGUUGGGGCAAUUUUCAUUUAUUCUGCCAAAUUUCCCAACCCAGUCUGUCCAAAUUGCAUCCAGCUGUCUCCAGAUUGUCAGCUGUGUCCUUUGUGAAAGAACUGCCGCUGUCCACCAAGGGAGGCCAUGCCUGGCAGCGACCCCGGCGCUCUGUUAAUAUUGAUGAUUCCCGGGAAGGCUGCCUGCUUCUGCCUCCCUGCCCCGAGCUGGCGGCUCAGUUGUGAUUGGGGACCCACCUGUGACAAAUUCCACAUGAGUACAGCGCAGGCUGCACCUCUGACGCCUCAGGGGGCCGGCUUUUGAGUUGGGGCUGGGCCUGUGUUCUGCUUCCUCUUCCCUGACCACUUGGGGCCAACCGAACUCUUGGAUCCUUCUGGGUUUGGGCAAGGUAUGGAGUGGGGCUUGUUCUGGAACCUUCUGUGCUGGAGCCGAGUGAAGGGAGGAGGCUCUAGGAGCGAGGCGACGCCCCCUGCUCCCAAUCUGUACCAGGGCCCACGCACUGGACCCACUUAAAAGAAUGACCCAGCGAGGCCACUGUUGAGGUGCCUCUCGUGGGGAAUCCAGCCCUCUCAUUCUCCUGUGGGUUGGGGACAAGCACGUGGUCCUUAGCUCUUCUUUCCUGUGAACCGGGUACCAUUUUAGAGGUUUCCUUCUUUCCGGAGGUCAUGAACUAGGAGCUGGCUUCAGGUGUGACCAUGUGACGUUCACAGAGAGGAAAUCUGCAUGAAGCUUCUGAAAGUGUUCCCUCGGAGGAAACGGAAGCCCGCGAGGCCCACGGCCCUCCCUGGGAUCAACCUGUGAGCAAGCAGCUGUCCGCUUCCACUUCCGGCUCUCCCGAAGGAGAGUGCAGGACAGUCCCCAUCAGGGGUGCCGUGCCCUGCUGCAGCGCCCAAUCUGCCUGGUGGCCCGAGUGAAGUUUCCUGGGUGACUCUGCGAUGUGAUCUAGACGCCCUCGCGGCGCAGCUGGGCUUGACUUUGGUGUGGUGGACACGUUCCAGAUGCUCCAGUGCGUGGGCCCUGGUACAGGAUGACACUCUCCUUUUGUACUUUGGAAAGUCUCACAGGUGUGUAUUUAAUUAAAAUGUCUUCGC